UAACACUAUUAGGGGUGCUGUCUAUAAUGAUAGCUGAGAUUACACCCUGAAACCUGAUAUGUUGUAAUUGACAUCGGAGGGAAAUGGUUCAUUUUAUUU
rnacentral:ncRNA from 1 species